rnacentral:tRNA from 1 species
GCUUCGGAAGCUGACAAGGUGUAUGCGGCUGGCUGUUAACCAGAGGGUGGUCGGUUCGAUCCCGACCCGAAGCG